rnacentral:rRNA from 1 species
AUUGAACGCUGGCGGCAGGCCUAACACAUGCAAGUCGAGCGGAUGAAGGGAGCUUGCUCCUGGAUUCAGCGGCGGACGGGUGAGUAAUGCCUAGGAAUCUGCCUGGUAGUGGGGGAUAACGUCCGGAAACGGGCGCUAAUACCGCAUACGUCCUGAGGGAGAAAGUGGGGGAUCUUCGGACCUCACGCUAUCAGAUGAGCCUAGGUCGGAUUAGCUAGUUGGUGGGGUAAAGGCCUACCAAGGCGACGAUCCGUAACUGGUCUGAGAGGAUGAUCAGUCACACUGAAACUGGGAACCGGUCCAGACUCCUAGGGAGGGCAGAGGGGGGAAAUAUUGGACAUUGGGCGAAAGCCUGGUCCAGCCAUGCCGGGGGUGUGAAGAAGGUCUUCGGAUGGUAAAGCACUUUAGGUUGGGAGAAAGGGAAGUAGGUUAAUACCUGGCUGUUUGACGUUACCAACAGAAUAAGCACCGGCUAACUUCGUG